GACGAACGCUGGCGGCGUGCCUAAUACAUGCAAGUCGAACGAAGCUUUUUUAACUGGUGCUUGCACCGACUUAAACAACUGAGUGGCGAACGGGUGAGUAACACGUGGGUAACCUGCCCCAAAGCGGGGGAUAACAUUUGGAAACAGAUGCUAAUACCGCAUAACCACAGAAACCACAUGGUUUCUGUGUCAAAGAUGGUUUCGGCUAUCACUUUGGGAUGGACCCGCGGCGUAUUAGCUAGUUGGGAAGGUAAUGGCUUACCAAGGCAAUGAGACGUAGACGAAAUGAGAGGUUGAACGGCAACAGUUGGACUGAGAAACGGCCCAAACUCCUACGGGAGGCAGCAGUAGGGAAUCUUCCGCAAUGGGCGAAAGUCUGAUGGAGCAACGCCGCGUGAGUGACGAAGGGUUUCGGCUCGUAAACCUCUGUUGUUAAAGAAGAACGUAUCUAAGAGUAACUGCUUAGGUAGUGACGGUAUUUAACCAGAAAGCCACGGCUAACUACGUGCCAGCCGCCGCGGUAA
rnacentral:rRNA from 1 species